rnacentral:rRNA from 1 species
GGUUAAGCGACUAAGCGUACACGGUGGAUGCCCUGGCAGUCAGAGGCGAUGAAGGGCGUGCUAAUCUGCGAUAAGCGCCGGUAAGGUGAUAUGAACCGUUAUAACCGGCGAUACCCGAAUGGGGAAACCCAGUGUGAUUCGUCACACUAUCAUUAACUGAAUCCAUAGGUUAAUGAGGCGAACCGGGGGAACUGAAACAUCUAAGUACCCCGAGGAAAAGAAAUCAACCGAGAUUCCCCCAGUAGCGGCGAGCGAACGGGGAGGAGCCCAGAGCCUGAAUCAGCAUGUGUGUUAGUGGAAGCGUCUGGAAAGGCGCGCGAUACAGGGUGACAGCCCCGUACACAAAAGCGCAUGUGCUGUGAGCUCGAUGAGUAGGGCGGGACACGUGGUAUCCUGUCUGAAUAUGGGGGGACCAUCCUCCAAGGCUAAAUACUCCUGACUGACCGAUAGUGAACCAGUACCGUGAGGGAAAGGCGAAAAGAACCCCGGCGAGGGGAGUGAAAAAGAACCUGAAACCGUGUACGUACAAGCAGUGGGAGCACAGGUUUACCUGUGUGACUGCGUACCUUUUGUAUAAUGGGUCAGCGACUUAUAUUCUGUAGCAAGGUUAACCGAAUAGGGGAGCCGCAGGGAAACCGAGUCUUAAUUGGGCGUUAAGUUGCAGGGUAUAGACCCGAAACCCGGUGAUCUAGCCAUGGGCAGGUUGAAGGUUGGGUAACACUAACUGGAGGACCGAACCGACUAAUGUUGAAAAAUUAGCGGAUGACCUGUGGCUGGGGGUGAAAGGCCAAUCAAACCGGGAGAUAGCUGGUUCUCCCCGAAAGCUAUUUAGGUAGCGCCUCGUGAAUUCAUCUCCGGGGGUAGAGCACUGUUUCGGCUAGGGGGCCAUCCCGGCUUACCAACCCGAUGCAAACUGCGAAUACCGGAGAAUGUUAUCACGGGAGACACACGGCGGGUGCUAACGUCCGUCGUGAAGAGGGAAACAACCCAGACCGCCAGCUAAGGUCCCAAAGUCAUGGUUAAGUGGGAAACGAUGUGGGAAGGCCCAGACAGCCAGGAUGUUGGCUUAGAAGCAGCCAUCAUUUAAAGAAAGCGUAAUAGCUCACUGGUCGAGUCGGCCUGCGCGGAAGAUGUAACGGGGCUAAACCAUGCACCGAAGCUGCGGCAGCGACACUAUGUGUUGUUGGGUAGGGGAGCGUUCUGUAAGCCUGCGAAGGUGGCCUGUGAGGGUUGCUGGAGGUAUCAGAAGUGCGAAUGCUGACAUAAGUAACGAUAAAGCGGGUGAAAAGCCCGCUCGCCGGAAGACCAAGGGUUCCUGUCCAACGUUAAUCGGGGCAGGGUGAGUCGACCCCUAAGGCGAGGCCGAAAGGCGUAGUCGAUGGGAAACGGGUUAAUAUUCCCGUACUUGGUGUUACUGCGAAGGGGGGACGGAGAAGGCUAUGUUGGCCGGGCGACGGUUGUCCCGGUUUAAGCGUGUAGGUGUGUGUUCCAGGUAAAUCCGGUUCACUUUAACACUGAGGCGUGAUGACGAGGCACUACGGUGCUGAAGCAACAAAUGCCCUGCUUCCAGGAAAAGCCUCUAAGCAUCAGGUAACAUCAAAUCGUACCCCAAACCGACACAGGUGGUCAGGUAGAGAAUACCAAGGCGCUUGAGAGAACUCGGGUGAAGGAACUAGGCAAAAUGGUGCCGUAACUUCGGGAGAAGGCACGCUGACACGUAGGUGAAGUGAUUUACUCAUGGAGCUGAAGUCAGUCGAAGAUACCAGCUGGCUGCAACUGUUUAUUAAAAACACAGCACUGUGCAAACACGAAAGUGGACGUAUACGGUGUGACGCCUGCCCGGUGCCGGAAGGUUAAUUGAUGGGGUCAGCGCAAGCGAAGCUCCUGAUCGAAGCCCCGGUAAACGGCGGCCGUAACUAUAACGGUCCUAAGGUAGCGAAAUUCCUUGUCGGGUAAGUUCCGACCUGCACGAAUGGCGUAAUGAUGGCCAGGCUGUCUCCACCCGAGACUCAGUGAAAUUGAACUCGCUGUGAAGAUGCAGUGUACCCGCGGCAAGACGGAAAGACCCCGUGAACCUUUACUAUAGCUUGACACUGAACAUUGAGCCUUGAUGUGUAGGAUAGGUGGGAGGCUUUGAAGUGUGGACGCCAGUCUGCAUGGAGCCGACCUUGAAAUACCACCCUUUAAUGUUUGAUGUUCUAACGUGGACCCGUAAUCCGGGUUGCGGACAGUGUCUGGUGGGUAGUUUGACUGGGGCGGUCUCCUCCUAAAGAGUAACGGAGGAGCACGAAGGUUGGCUAAUCCUGGUCGGACAUCAGGAGGUUAGUGCAAUGGCAUAAGCCAGCUUGACUGCGAGCGUGACGGCGCGAGCAGGUGCGAAAGCAGGUCAUAGUGAUCCGGUGGUUCUGAAUGGAAGGGCCAUCGCUCAACGGAUAAAAGGUACUCCGGGGAUAACAGGCUGAUACCGCCCAAGAGUUCAUAUCGACGGCGGUGUUUGGCACCUCGAUGUCGGCUCAUCACAUCCUGGGGCUGAAGUAGGUCCCAAGGGUAUGGCUGUUCGCCAUUUAAAGUGGUACGCGAGCUGGGUUUAGAACGUCGUGAGACAGUUCGGUCCCUAUCUGCCGUGGGCGCUGGAGAACUGAGGGGGGCUGCUCCUAGUACGAGAGGACCGGAGUGGACGCAUCACUGGUGUUCGGGUUGUCAUGCCAAUGGCACUGCCCGGUAGCUAAAUGCGGAAGAGAUAAGUGCUGAAAGCAUCUAAGCACGAAACUUGCCCCGAGAUGAGUUCUCCCUGAGACUUAGAGUCUCCUGAAGGAACGUUGAAGACGACGACGUUGAUAGGCCGGGUGUGUAAGCGCAGCGAUGCGUUGAGCUAACCGGUACUAAUGAACCGUGAGGCUUAACCUU